rnacentral:rRNA from 1 species
UCAGUCGACUCCUACGGGGAGGCAGCAGUGGGGGAAUUUGGGACAAUGGGCGCAAGCCUGAUCCAGCCAUGCCGCGUGCAGGAAGAAGGCCUUCGGGUUGUAAACUGCUUUGUCAGGGAAGAAAUCCUCUGGGGUUAAUACCUCGGAGGGAUGACGGUACCUGAAGAAUAAGCACCGGCUAACUACGUGCCAGCAGCCGCGGUAAUACGUAGGGUGCGAGCGUUAAUCGGAAUUACUGGGCGUAAAGCGUGCGCAGGCGGCUUUGCAAGACAGAUGUGAAAUACCCCGGGCUCAACCUGGGAACUGCAUUUGUGACUGCAAGGCUAGAGUGCGGCAGAGGGAGAUGGAAUUCCGCGUGUAGCAGUGAAAUGCGUAGAUAUGCGGAGGAACACCGAUGGCGAAGGCAAUCUCCUGGGCCUGCACUGACGCUCAUGCACGAAAGCGUGGGGAGCAAACAGGAUUAGAUACCCUGGUAG